rnacentral:rRNA from 1 species
GCUUGACUGUAUCUUGGAAUUGGGUUCGGGCUUUUCUUGCGCAGACUAGGUGGGAGGCUAUGAAGAUUUUCUUCUGGGAAAGUUGGAGCCAACAGUGAGAGACCACUCUGGAAAGGCUAGAUCCUAAUGGUGAUCCUUGAAUCAGGACACUUGACAGUUUCAGGUGGCAGUUUUUCUGGGGCGGAAGCCUCAUAAAAGGUAACUGAGGCGCGCAAAGGUCCCCUCAGUCGGACGGAAAUCAGACAUUGAGUGUAAAGGCAAAAGGGGGCUUGACUGCAAGACCCACAA